UACGAAGGGGGCUAGCGUUGUUCGGAUUUACUGGGCGUAAAGCGCGUGUAGGCGGGUCGUUAAGUUGGGGGUGAAAUCCCGAGGCUCAACCUCGGAACUGCCUUCAAAACUGGCGACCUGGACUCAAGCAGAGGCAAGUGGAAUUGCGAGUGUAGAGGUGAAAUUCGUAGAUAUUCGGAAGAACACCAGUGGCGAAGGCGACUUACUGGACACAUAUUGACGCUGAGGUGCGAAAGCGUGGGGAGCAAACAGG
rnacentral:rRNA from 1 species